UACGUAGGGGGCAAGCGUUGUCCGGAAUCAUUGGGCGUAAAGCGCGUGUAGGCGGCUCGGUAAGUCUGCUGUGAAAGUCCAGGGCUCAACCCUGGGAUGCCGGUGGAUACUGUCGAGCUCGAGUCCGGAAGAGGCGAGUGGAAUUCCUGGUGUAGCGGUGGAAUGCGCAGAUAUCAGGAGGAACACCAAUGGCGAAGGCAGGUCUCUGGGCCACAACUGACGCUGAGGAGCGAAAGCGUGGGGAGCGAACAGG
rnacentral:rRNA from 1 species